UACAGAGGUCUCAACCGUUGUUCGGAUUCAUUGGGCGUAAAGGGUGCGUAGGCGGUCGCGCAAGUCGGAUGUGAAAUCUCGAGGCUCAACCUGAACUAGCAUUCGAUACUGCGUGGCUAGAGUGCUGGAGAGGAGACUGGAAUUUACGGUGUAGCAGUGAAAUGCGUAGAUAUCGUAAGGAAGACCAGUGGCGAAGGCGGAGUCUCUGGACAGUUCCUGACGCUGAGGCACGAAGGUCAGGGGAGCAAACGGG
rnacentral:rRNA from 1 species